UAGGGAAUCUUCGGCAAUGGACGCAAGUCUGACCGAGCAACGCCGCGUGAGUGAAGAAGGUUUUCGGAUCGUAAAACUCUGUUGUUAGAGAAGAACAAGGACGUUAGUAACGGAACGUCCCCUGACGGUAUCUAACCAGAAAGCCACGGCUAACUACGUGCCAGCAGCCGCGGUAAUACGAAGGGGGCAAGCGUUGUCCGGAUUUAUUGGGCGUAAAGCGAGCGCAGGCGGAUGCUUAAGUCUGAUGUGAAAGCCCCCGGCUCAACCGGGGAGGGUCAGUUGAAACUGGGGGACUUGAGUGCAGAAGAGGAGAGUGGAAUUCCAAGUGUAGCGGUGAAAUGCGUAGAUAUAUGGAGGAACACCAGUGGCGAAGGCGGCUCUCUGGUCUGUAACUGACGCUGAGGCUCGAAAGCGUGGGGAGCAAACAGG
rnacentral:rRNA from 1 species